GGUCAAGCGAAUAAGCGCACACGGUGGAUGCCUAGGCGGUCAGAGGCGAUGAAGGACGUGGUAGCCUGCGAAAAGUGUCGGGGAGCUGGCAACAAGCUUUGAUCCGGCAAUAUCCGAAUGGGGAAACCCACUGCUUCGGCAGUAUCCUGCAGUGAAUUCAUAGCUGCUGGAAGCGAACCCGGUGAACUGAAAUAUCUAAGUAACCGGAGGAAAAGAAAUCAACCGAGAUUCCCUAAGUAGUGACGAGCGAACGGGGAGCAGCCCUUAAGCUGGAAUGGCUUUAGAAAAACAAUCUGGAAAGAUUGGCCAUAGAAGGUGAUAGCCCUGUAUUUAAAAGGGCCACUCCAGUGAAGACGAGUAGGGCGGGGCACGUGAAACCCUGUCUGAAUAUGGGGGACCAUCCUCCAAGGCUAAAUACUCCUGACCGACCGAUAGUGAACCAGUACCGUGAGGGAAAGGCGAAAAGAACCCCGGAGAGGGGAGUGAAAUAGAUCCUGAAACCGUGUGCGUACAAGCAGUAGGAGCUCGCAAGAGUGACUGCGUACCUUUUGUAUAAUGGGUCAGCGACUUACUGUUCGUGGCAAGCUUAACCGUAUAGGGGAGGCGAAGGGAAACCGAGUCUGAUAAGGGCGCAUAGUCGCGGGCAGUAGACCCGAAACCGGGUGAUCUAGUCAUGGCCAGGGUGAAGGUGCCGUAACAGGUACUGGAGGCCCGAACCCACGUCUGUUGCAAAAGACGGGGAUGAGCUGUGAUUAGGAGUGAAAAGCUAAUCGAACCCGGAGAUAGCUGGUUCUCCUCGAAAGCUAUUUAGGUAGCGCCUCGGACGAAUACUACUGGGGGUAGAGCACUGUUAUGGCUAGGGGUCAUCGCGACUUACCAAACCAUUGCAAACUCCGAAUACCAGUACGUACUAUCCGGGAGACACACGGCGGGUGCUAACGUCCGUCGUGAAAAGGGAAACAACCCAGACCCACAGCUAAGGUCCCAAAUUCACUGCUAAGUGGAAAACGAUGUGGAAAGGCAUAGACAGCCAGGAGGUUGGCUUAGAAGCAGCCACCCUUUAAAGAAAGCGUAAUAGCUCACUGGUCGAGUCGGUCUGCGCGGAAGAUUUAACGGGGCUAAGCAGUGAACCGAAGCUUGGGGUGCAUAAAACUUGUUUUAUGCGCGGUAGAGGAGCGUUCCGUAAGCCUGCGAAGGUGGAUUGAGAAGUCUGCUGGAGGUAUCGGAAGUGCGAAUGCUGACAUGAGUAACGAUAAUGCGGGUGAAAAGCCCGCACGCCGAAAGCCCAAGGUUUCCUUGCGCAACGUUAAUCGACGCAGGGUUAGUCGGUCCCUAAGGCGAGGGCGAAAGCCGUAGUCGAUGGGAAGCAGGUUAAUAUUCCUGCACCUCGCGUGAGUGCGAUGGAGGGACGGAGAAGGUUAGGUGUACCGGGCGUUGGUUGUCCCGGGGAAAGGCGGUAGGUUUGGAUCUUUGGCAAAUCCGGGAUCCUUUAAGACCGAGCACCGAGACGAGCCUUUAUGGCGAAGUCACUGAUACCACGCUUCCAGGAAAAGCUCCUAAGCUUCAGCUCACGAAGACCGUACCGUAAACCGACACAGGUGGGUAGGAUGAGAAUUCUCAGGCGCUUGAGAGAACUCGGGUGAAGGAACUAGGCAACAUGGCACCGUAACUUCGGGAGAAGGUGCACCCUUUUGGUGGCUCAUGCGAGCUAUAGCUGAAGAGGGUCGCAGAAACCAGGCCGCUGCGACUGUUUAUCAAAAACACAGCACUCUGCAAACACGAAAGUGGACGUAUAGGGUGUGACGCCUGCCCGGUGCUGGAAGGUUAAUUGAUGGGGUCAGCCGCAAGGCGAAGCUCUUGAUCGAAGCCCCAGUAAACGGCGGCCGUAACUAUAACGGUCCUAAGGUAGCGAAAUUCCUUGUCGGGUAAGUUCCGACCUGCACGAAUGGCGUAACGACAGCGGCGCUGUCUCCACCCGAGACUCAGUGAAAUUGAAAUCGCUGUGAAGAUGCAGCGUUCCCGUGGCAAGACGGAAAGACCCCGUGAACCUUUACUAUAGCUUUACACUGAACGUUGAGUUCGUCUGUGUAGGAUAGGUGGGAGGCUAUGAAACUGUGGCGCUAGCUGCAGUGGAGCCAUCCUUGAAAUACCACCCUGUCGUGCUUGACGUUCUAACCUAGAUCCGUUAUCCGGAUCAGGGACCGUGUAUGGUGGGUAGUUUGACUGGGGCGGUCUCCUCCUAAAGAGUAACGGAGGAGCACGAAGGUACGCUCAGCGCGGUCGGACAUCGCGCACUGUGUGCAAAGGCAUAAGCGUGCUUGACUGCAAGAUCGACGGAUCAAGCAGGUACGAAAGUAGGUCUUAGUGAUCCGGUGGUUCUGUAUGGAAGGGCCAUCGCUCAACGGAUAAAAGGUACUCCGGGGAUAACAGGCUGAUACCGCCCAAGAGUUCAUAUCGACGGCGGUGUUUGGCACCUCGAUGUCGGCUCAUCACAUCCUGGGGCUGUAGUCGGUCCCAAGGGUAUGGCUGUUCGCCAUUUAAAGUGGUACGCGAGCUGGGUUCAGAACGUCGUGAGACAGUUCGGUCCCUAUCUGCCAUGGGCGUUGGAAGUUUGAGAGGGGCUGCUCCUAGUACGAGAGGACCGGAGUGGACGAACCUCUGGUGUUCCGGUUGUCACGCCAGUGGCAUUGCCGGGUAGCUAUGUUCGGAAGCGAUAACCGCUGAAAGCAUCUAAGCGGGAAGCGCGCCUCAAGAUGAGACUUCCCGGGGCACAAGCCCCUAAAGGAACCAUAUAGACUAUGUGGUUGAUAGGUCAGGUGUGUAAGUACAGCAAUGUAUUGAGCUAACUGAUACUAAUGAUCCGUGCGGCUUGACCAU
rnacentral:rRNA from 1 species